GAUGAAGAACGUAGCGAAAUGCGAUAAGUAAUGUGAAUUGCAGAAUUCAGUGAAUCAUCGAAUCUUUGAACGCACGUUGCGCCCGCCAGCAUUCUGGCGGGCAUGCCUGUUCGAGCGUCAUUUCAACCCUCGACUUCCCUUUGGGGAAGUCGGCGUUGGGGACCGGCCGUAUACCGCCGGCCCCGAAAUGAAGUGGCGGCCCGUCCGCGGCGACCUCUGCGUAGUAAUCCAACUCGCACCGGAACCCCGACGUGGCCACGCCGUAAAACCCCCGACUUCUGAACGUUGACCUCGGAUCAGGUAGGAAUACCCGCUGAACUUAAGCAUAUCAAUAAGCGGAGGA
rnacentral:misc_RNA from 1 species